rnacentral:rRNA from 1 species
CAGCCGCCGCGGUAAUACGUAGGGUGCGAGCGUUAAUCGGAAUUACUGGGCGUAAAGCGUGCGCAGGCGGUUAUAUAAGACAGAUGUGAAAUCCCCGGGCUCAACCUGGGACCUGCAUUUGUGACUGUAUAGCUAGAGUACGGCAGAGGGGGAUGGAAUUCCGCGUGUAGCAGUGAAAUGCGUAGAUAUGCGGAGGAACACCGAUGGCGAAGGCAAUCCCCUGGACUUGUACUGACGCUCAGGUGCGAAAGCGUGGGGAGCAAACAGGAUUAGAUACCCGCGUAGUCCCUGUCUCUUAUAC